UACGGAGGGUGCAAGCGUUGUUCGGAAUCAUUGGGCGUAAAGCGCGUGUAGGCGGCUUGGCAAGUCGGUCGUGAAAUCCCGGGGCCCAACCCCGGAACUGCAUUCGAAACUGCCUCGCUAGAGUCCCGGAGAGGAAGGCGGAAUUCCCGGUGUAGAGGUGAAAUUCGUAGAUAUCGGGAGGAACACCAGCGGCGAAGGCGGCCUUCUGGACGGUGACUGACGCUGAGACGCGAAAGCGUGGGGAGCAAACAGG
rnacentral:rRNA from 1 species